rnacentral:rRNA from 1 species
GACAGAGGUGCCGAGCGUUAGGCGGAAUCACUGGGCUUAAAGCGUGUGUAGGCGGAUGGGUAAGUACCUUGUGAAAUCCCACGGCUCAACCGUGGAACUGCUCGGUAUACUGCUCGUCUUGAGCCAACUAGGGGCGACCGGAACAAACGGUGGAGCGGUGAAAUGCGCAGAUAUCAGGAGGAACACCGGUGGCGAAGGCGGGUCUCUGGGCCGAUACUGACGCUGAGGAGCGAAAGCGUGGGGAGCGAACAGG